rnacentral:rRNA from 1 species
AACGUAGGAGACAAAGCGUUAUCCGGAGUUACUGGGCGUUAAAGGGCGUGAGCAGGUGGUCGUGUUAAGUCUGGCGUGAAAGCUCUCGGCUAAACCGGGAGAGGUCGUUGGAUACUGGCGGAGCUAGAGGACGGUAGAGGUGUGUGGAAUUCCGGGUGUAGUGGUGAAAUGCGUAGAGAUCGGGAAGAACAUCAGUGGCGAAGGCGGUCUGCUGGGCCGUUG